rnacentral:rRNA from 1 species
AGUGAACGCUGGCGGUAGGCCUAACACAUGCAAGUCGAACGGCAGCACAGUAAGAGCUUGCUCUUACGGGUGGCGAGUGGCGGACGGGUGGGGAAUACAUCGGAAUCUACUUUUUCGUGGGGGAUAACGUAGGGAAACUUACGCUAAUACCGCAUACGACCUACGGGUGAAAGCAGGGGAUCUUCGGACCUUGCGCGAUUGAAUGAGCCGAUGUCGGAUUAGCUAGUUGGCGGGGUAAAGGCCCACCAAGGCGACGAUCCGUAGCUGGUCUGAGAGGAUGAUCAGCCACACUGGGACUGAGACACGGUCCAGACUCCUACGGGAGGCAGCAGUGGGGAAUAUUGGACAAUGGGCGCAAGCCUGAUCCAGCCAUACCGCGUGGGUGAAGAAGGCCUUCGGGUUGUAAAGCCCUUUUGUUGGGAAAGAAAAGCAGCAGGUUAAUACCCCGCUGUUCUGACGGUACCCAAAGAAUAAGCACCGGCUAACUUCGUG